UACGUAGGGGGCUAGCGUUGUCCGGAAUCAUUGGGCGUAAAGCGCGUGUAGGCGGCCCGGUAAGUCCGUUGUGAAAGUCAAAGGCUCAACCUUUGAAAGCCGAUGGAUACUGCCGGGCUAGAGUCCGGAAGAGGCGAGUGGAAUUCCUGGUGUAGCGGUGGAAUGCGCAGAUAUCAGGAGGAACACCGAUAGCGAAGGCAGCUCGCUGGGACGGUACUGACGCUAAGGCGCGAAAGCGUGGGGAGCGAACAGG
rnacentral:rRNA from 1 species